UCGAGAAUCUUCGGCAAUGGGCGCAAGCCUGACCGAGCGACGCCGCGUGGAGGACGAAGGCCUUCGGGUUGUAAACUCCUGUCGAGGGGGAGGAAGUCGCAAGAUUGACCGAUCCCUGGAGGAAGCACGGGCUAAGUUCGUGCCAGCAGCCGCGGUAAGACGAACCGUGCGAACGUUAUUCGGAAUCACUGGGCUUAAAGCGCGUGUAGGUGGGUCGCCACGUCGGAUGCUGAAAUCCCUCGGCUCAACCGAGGAACGGGCACCGAUACGAGCGACCUGGAGGGGGGUAGGGGGAGCUGGAACUUCCGGUGGAGCGGUGAAAUGCGUUGAGAUCGGAAGGAACGCCCGUGGCGAAAGCGAGCUCCUGGACCUUUUCUGACACUGAGACGCGAAAGCUAGGGGAGCGAACGGGAUUAGAUACCCCCGUAGUCC
rnacentral:rRNA from 1 species